rnacentral:rRNA from 1 species
CGCGGGAGCGCAACUGACGCUGAAGCUCGAAAGUGCGGGUAUCGAACAGGAUUAGAUACCCUGGUAGUCCGCACGGUAAACGAUGGAUGCCCGCUUUUCGGUCAUUAGACCGUGAGGCCAAGUGAAAACAUUAAGCAUCCCACCUGGGGAGUACGCCGGCAACGGUGAAACUCAAAGGAAUUGACGGGGGCCCGCACAAGCGGAGGAACAUGUGGUUUAAUUCGAUGAUACGCGAGGAACCUUACCCGGGCUUGAACUGCAGGAGAACGAUUCAGAGAUGAUGAGGUCCUUCGGGACUCCUGUGGAGGUGCUGCAUGGUUGUCGUCAGCUCGUGCCGUGAGGUGUCGGCUUAAGUGCCAUAACGAGCGCAACCCCUGCGGUCAGUUGCCAUCAGGUUAAGCUGGGCACUCUGGCCGGACUGCCGCCGUAAGGUGUGAGGAAGGUGGGGAUGACGUCAAAUCAGCACGGCCUGGACGUCCGGUGCUACACACGUGUUACAAUGGGUGAUACAGAGGGCAGGCGGUGCGCAAGGCGCGUCGAAUCCUUAAAGUCAUCCUCAGUUCGGACUGGGGUCUGCAACCCGACCCCACGAAGCUGGAUC